CUGCGAAAGCCGGAUUAAUACCGCAUACGCUCUGUGGAGGAAAGCGGGGGAUCUUCGGACCUCGCGCUCAAGGGGCGGCCGAUGGCGGAUUAGCUAGUUGGUGGGGUAAAGGCCUACCAAGGCGACGAUCCGUAGCUGGUCUGAGAGGACGACCAGCCACACUGGGACUGAGACACGGCCCAGACUCCUACGGGAGGCAGCAGUGGGGAAUUUUGGACAAUGGGGGCAACCCUGAUCCAGCAAUGCCGCGUGUGUGAAGAAGGCCUUCGGGUUGUAAAGCACUUUUGUCCGGAAAGAAAACGGCCUGGUUAAUACCCGGGUUGGAUGACGGUACCGGAAGAAUAAGCACCGGCUAACUACGUGCCAGCAGCCGCGGUAAUACGUAGGGUGCGAGCGUUAAUCGGAAUUACUGGGCGUAAAGCGUGCGCAGGCGGUUUGCUAAGACCGAUGUGAAAUCCCCGGGCUUAACCUGGGAACUGCAUUGGUGACUGGCAAGCUAGAGUAUGGCA
rnacentral:rRNA from 1 species